UUGCGGACAUGUACUGAGCCUUGCCUUGGUGUGAGGCCCAGGAAGUGCCUCUCCCUGAGUCACCUGUCUCCAGUCUUGCCCAGACGCCUGGGGAGGAGAUAGAAGAUGGAAUGUUGUGGCAUACUUCAUGGACUACAAUAUCAUGUAAACAUAACUUUCAUAUGCACUGGG